AGGUUUUUUUGUUUUUUUUU
rnacentral:miRNA from 1 species